UGGGGAAUAUUGCACAAUGGAGGGAACUCUGAUGCAGCGACGCCGCGUGAACGAAGAAGGCUUUCGAGUCGUAAAGUUCUUUUAUAUGGGAAGAUAAUGACGGUACCAUAAGAAAAAGCCUCGGCUAACUACGUGCCAGCAGCCGCGGUAAUACGUACGGGGCUAGCGUUGUCCGGAAUCACUGGGCGUAAAGGGUUCGCAGGCGGAAAUGCAAGUCAGGUGUAAAAGGCAGUAGCUUAACUACUGUAAGCAUUUGAAACUGCAUAUCUUGAGAAGAGUAGAGGUAAGUGGAAUUUUUAGGGUAGCGGUGAAAUGCGUAGAUAUUAAAAAGAAUACCGGUGGCGAAGGCGACUUACUGGGCUCAUUCUGACGCUGAGGAACGAAAGCGUGGGUAGCAAACAGG
rnacentral:rRNA from 1 species